rnacentral:ncRNA from 1 species
UGUACUGGGAUAAUUGUUUGAACUGACCCUUUGCCAAAAGACUUAACUCCCAUAAUUAUAGCUCUUUUGUGGUCUUGUAAGGCUCCUGCAACUAUCUCAGAAGCAGAUGCGGACCCACUAUUGAUAAGGAUAACUAUAGGCAGACCAUCCGCUAUGUCACCUUUAGUGGCAGUGAACCUCUGCUGCCCUCUUUUUAUUCUACCUCUAGUAGAAACUAUUUCACCUCUAUUUAGGAAAGCAUCCGAAACUUUAAUAGCUUGAUCUAGCAGGCCUCCAGGAUUAUUUCUUA